rnacentral:tRNA from 1 species
GCAGUGGUGGUUCACUGGUAGAAUUCUCGCCUGCCAUGCGGGAGACCCGGGUCCGAUUCCUGGCCAACGCA